rnacentral:rRNA from 1 species
UACAGAGGGUGCAAGCGUUGUUCGGAAUUAUUGGGCGUAAAGGGCGCGUAGGCGGCCGUUUGCGUCGGAUGUGAAAGCCCGGGGCUCAACCUCGGAGCGGCAUUCGAUACGGGACGGCUGGAGACCGGGAGAGGAGAGUGGAAUAGCCAGUGUAGAGGUGAAAUUCGUAGAUAUUGGCUGGAACACCGGUGGCGAAAGCGGCUCUCUGGCCCGGUUCUGACGCUGAGGCGCGAAAGCCAGGGGAGCAAACGGG